rnacentral:piRNA from 1 species
UCAAAAGUGAAACAUUGAUUU